AUGGUGGAAGCUUUAGCUCUCAAGUUUGGUCUAACACUAGCUCAAAGGGCGGGAUGUAAUCGUCUUAUUAUUAACUCAGAUAACCUGGAGGUCAUUCAUACUAUGCAGGAUAGAUGACAGUCAGCGAGUACGGCGGCGGCAAUCUUCGACGAUUGUUUUCAUUAUGCCUGUGAUUUCAUUAUUACUAGAUUUGAACAAUGUAAUAGAGAAGCAAAUAAAGUAGCUCAUGAGCUUGCUAGAUUAUCUAGAUUUUCCUUGACUUAUGCUUGGUUUCAGGAACCGGUAGAUGAAACUGUAAUGAUCCUCACAAACGGUGUACUUCUUAUAUCUAAUGAAUAA
rnacentral:rRNA from 1 species